AUUUGGAGUAUAAAACGUCGCUGAAAGAAUAGUCGGACAUCUCUCCGAAAUCCUGCUGGUCCAUGGAUGCAUCAGACUCCGACAGGACCUCUUCGGGUUUCAGCUCGCCGUGCUGUCGCAUAGUGAGGCCAGCUCAGAAGGUGUGACACAAGAAAGCAGCAACAGUCUCUACAAAGCCAGAAGCCAUAAAGCUUUGUCAAUAGUAAACAAAGGACAAGACAGUCGGUGGCGUAGGAAAUCAGGUCGAGAGAGACAAUGUGCCAUGACAUGUGGAGAAAGAAGCCACAGGCUGGACUUGAAGGCGACCCAACCGCUAGGCCAAUCGCCCUUCAGGGACAAAUAAAGUUGAAGUUGAAGGCCAUCGGCACCCAAAUGUAGACUGUUUUAUUCUCAGAGUCUCUACCUCAAGCUGACAGCAAUGGUCUACAUCAGCCCCUACUUUCAGGUACUACAGAUGUCACCUACACACUGCAGAGCAAGAACAAUACAUGCCAGAACCGACUUUCUCUUGCAUUUUUGUUUUUGUGCACGAUACAAAAAAAUACCAGACCAAAUCCUCUUUAGGAUUUAUUGGGGCCAGAUAGAUACAUGUUUUUUCAUGAUUCAU